rnacentral:rRNA from 1 species
GCGCACGCUGGCGGCAGGCUUAACACAUGCAAGUCGAGCGGGCAUCCUUGUGGUGUCAGCGGCAGACGGGUGAGUAACGCGUGGGAACGUGCCCUUCGGUUCGGAAUAACUCAGGGAAACUUGAGCUAAUACCGGAUACGUGCGAGAGCAGAAAGGUUUAUCUGCCGAAGGAUCGGCCCGCGUCUGAUUAGCUAGUUGGUGAGGUUACGGCUCACCAAGGCGACGAUCAGUAGCUGGUCUGAGAGGAUGAUCAGCCACACUGGGACUGAGACACGGCCCAGACUCCUACGGGAGGCAGCAGUGGGGAAUAUUGGACAAUGGGGGCAACCCUGAUCCAGCCAUGCCGCGUGAGUGAUGACGGCCUUAGGGUUGUAAAGCUCUUUUCUCCGGGACGAUAAUGACGGUACCGGAGGAAUAAGCCCCGGCUAACUUCGUG